AUGGACAGUUCUAGGGACAGUUCUACAGACAGUUCUACGGACAGUUAUAGGGACAGUUCUACGGACAGUGCUAGGGACAGUGCUAGGGACAGUGCUAGUGACAGUUAUAGGGACAGUGCUAGUGACAGUGCUAGGGACAGUUAUAGGGACAGUGCUAGUGACAGUGCUAGGGACAGUGCUAGGGACAGUUAUAGGGAUAGUUAUAGGGACAGUGCUAGGGACAGUGCUAGGGACAGUGCUAGGGACAGUUAUAGGGAUAGUUAUAGGGACAGUGCUAGGGACAGUGCUGGGGACAGUGCUAGGGACAGUUCUAGGGACAGUGCUAGGGACAGUGCUAGGGACAGUUAUAGGGAUAGUUAUAGGGACAGUGCUAGGGACAGUGCUAGGGACAGUUCUAGGGACAGUGCUAGGGACAGUGCUAGGGACAGUGCUAGGGACAGUGCUAGGGACAGUGCUAGGGACAGUGCUAGGGACAGUUAUAGGGUUAGUUAUAGGGACAGUGCUAGGGACAGUGCUAGGGACAGUUAUAGGGAUAGUUAUAGGGACAGUGCUAGGGACAGUGCUAGGGACAGUUAUAGGGAUAGUUAUAGGGACAGUGCUAGGGACAGUGCUAGGGACAGUUAUAGGGAUAGUUAUAGGGACAGUGCUAGGGACAGUGCUAGGGACAGUUAUAGGGACAGUGCUAGGGACAGUGCUAGGGACAGUGCUAGGGACAGUGCUAGGGACAGUUCUAGGGACAGUGCUAGGGACAGUUCUAGUGACAGUGCUAGUGACAGUUAUAGGGACAGUGCUAGGGACAGUUCUAGGGACAGUGCUAGGAACAGUGCUAGGAACAGUUCUACAGACAGUUCUAGGAACAGUUCUACAGACAGUGCUAGUGACAGUUAUAGGGACAGUGCUAGUGACAGUUCUACAGACAGUGCUAGGAACAGUUCUACAGACAGUGCUAGGACAGUUAUAGGGACAGUGCUAGGAACAGUGCUAGGAACAGUUCUACAGACAGUGCUAGGAACAGUUCUACAGACAGUGCUAGGAACAGUUCUACAGACAGUGUUAGGAACAGUUCUACAGACAGUUCUACAGACAGUGCUAGGAACAGUUCUACAGACAGUGCUAGUGCUGACUUAGUUCUCAGGCAAAACACUCUCUCUAGUCAGUUGAGAAGGAGAUGUGUGUAAAGGGGCUCAAUCACCCAACCUUGUUAAUGCUAGAUAACAAAAUUGCCUGGCAAAACUGUGCUACAUUAUAAACAUAGUAAAAAUGUAUUUCCCUUUCUUGUUGUUUGCUGAUGUCUAAUAUAUCUAAUGCAAACCGUGCAGUGUACAAAUAUAUGCGUUAAGGAAUUAACCAUUCCAUUCCAUUCUAUAUGCUUUAGUCUUAAACUCUGUAAUGAUAUACAUAGCAGAAGACUGGGCUAGAUUUAUUUUGUUUCCCACCUUUUAUUUUCAUAAUACUAUACUGAAUAAUACAUAGAAUAGGGCAAACUGGUCCAGUUAUGAUGAAUACCCUCCCUUUGUGUUGUAUGUUAAUGUUUAAUCAAGUCAAAUAAAACAUGUUAAUCACCCAUUGAGUGUUUUUGAUUGUUGUUUUACAGACAUUACCCUUUUUCCUGAAAGUUCAAAUGUUUAUUUAUUAUGUUCAAAUGUUUAUUAACAUAUGUGGUGGCUAAUUUCUGCAUUACCAAAUGAGGAGAGUUACAAACUUCACACACCAGUCAGAGCUAUACGUAAACUACAUCUUUAAUAAUGAACUUGUUAUGGAUAGGGGGCAGUAUUUUCACGGCCGGAUAAAAAACGUACCCGAUUUAAUCUGAUUAUUACUCCUGCCCAGAAACUAGAAUAUGCAUAUAAUUAUUAGCUUUGGAUAGAAAACACUCCAAAGUUUCUAAAACUGUUUGAAUGGUGUCUGUGAGUAUAACAGAACUCAUUUGGCAGGCCAAAACCUGAGAAGAUUCCAAACAGGAAGCGCUCUCUCUGACCAUUUCUUGGCCUUCUUGAUCAUCUCUAUCCAAAACAG
ensembl:lncRNA